UCGAAUGGGGAAAUUCAUUCGCGUUUCGAUUGUCGGCGUUGAGCGGUUGCGUGACUGACGGCAAAACAUACGUUAGCACCUUCAGUUUUUCGAACCGACUUCGAACGCGUGCACUUUUCCCCUAGUAGGACGUCGCGAUCCGUUGGGUGUCGGUCUAAGGCCUGUGGUGGAGCUCGGGCAGACGUUUCGACGUUCUGCACGAACCCGCAGUGUCCCGAUCGACUCGCUCGACGGUAUAAAGAUGGCGCGGGGCCGCUACAUAGUUAGCGUUCGGCCUACGGCAAGCACGUACGGUGUUUGAUGGCAAUCAGACCUGGUCGGAUCCCGUCCCCGGACGACUGUUGGCACGUAKUGUUCUCGAACAGACCUCGUUKAAACGCCRAUCUGCGACGCUAACGCUUUGGGUACUUUCAGGACCCGUCUUGAAACACGG
rnacentral:rRNA from 1 species